CCUACCUUCAUCACUUUCCCUUUGCUACAUCACCUGCAGACCAUUGUAACUCUCUCCCGAUCCCUCUCUUCUCCAUCUCCCAAUCUACACAAAGAAAUAUUAUCCCACCUCUCCUCCUCUCCACCCUCUUGAGUUGCACUGUCUAGUUUGCUUCGACGGAUCGAUUCCUGGAUGGGAGUGACACCGUCGACAGGCAAAGCUUGGGUGAAGUGUGUCAUGCGAAGCCAAUUUUAAUGGAGGGCACAGGACAAGGGAGCCAACCAGUGUCUGGAGGGAAUCCCGAACAUGUAGGUUCCCAUCAAGAUGUGCAAAGGUUGCCGCGCAGGAAUAACUGGACGAUUUCUAGUGAUGAAGCACUAGUUGACCUAUUGUUGGAGGGAAGCAAGCAGCCUGGUGUGUGUUCAGGUUCCUUUCGACCGGAAGCAUGGUUCAGAAUAUGGAAUGAGUACCAA